rnacentral:rRNA from 1 species
AUGAAGGUCACCUUCCACGUCCAGCGUGGCUCCAACCCUAACUACCUCGCGGUGCUCGUGGAGUACGCCGACGUGGAUGGGACCGUGGUGCGGAUGGAGCUGAUGCAGACCAGGAACGGCCGCCCCACGGGGUUCUGGGAGCCGAUGCGGCGCUCCUGGGGAUCCAUCUGGCGGAUGGACACCAGCCGCCCGCUGCAGGGGGCCUUCUCCAUGCGCAUCACCAGCGACUCCGGCAAGACGCUGGUGGCCAACAAUGUCAUCCCGGCCUACUGGCGGCCGGACAAAGCCUACGGGUCCAACGUCCAGUUCUAUUGA